UAAUACAGAGGUGGCAAGUGUUGUUCGGAUUUACUGGGCGUAAAGGGCAAGUAGGCGGAAUUGUAAGUCAGAUGUUAAAGGCACCGGCUCAACCGGUGUACGGCAUUUGAUACUGUGAUUCUAGAGUAAGGUGGGGGAAGAUGGAAUUCCUGGUGUAGCGGUGGAAUGCGCAGAUAUCAGGAAAAACACCAGAGGCGAAGGCGAUCUUCUAUACCAUUACUGACGCUAAAUUGCGAAGGUGUGGGUAUCAAACAGGAUUAGAUACCCUGGUAGUCCACACAGUAAACGAUAUACACUAGGUGUUGGGGGAGAUGAUCUUUCAGUGCCGCAGCUAACGCGUUAAGUGUAUCGCCUGGGGAGUACGAUCGCAAGGUUA
rnacentral:rRNA from 1 species